rnacentral:rRNA from 1 species
UACAGAGGGUGCGAGCGUUAAUCGGAAUUACUGGGCGUAAAGCGCACGUAGGUGGCGACGUAAGUCGGGUGUGAAAUCCCUCGGCUCAACCGAGGAACUGCACUCGAUACUGGUCGGCUAGAGUCCGGGAGGGGAUGGUGGAAUUCCCAGUGUAGCGGUGAAAUGCGUAGAUAUUGGGAAGAACACCGGUGGCGAAGGCGGCCAUCUGGACCGGAACUGACGCUGAGGCGCGAAAGCCAGGGGAGCGAAUGGG